CGCGCAGGCGGUUUGGUUAGUCAGAUGUGAAAGCCCGGGGCUCAACCUCGGAAGUGCAUUUGAUACUGCCUAACUUGAGUAUGGGAGAGGGAAGUGGAAUUCCUGGUGUAGAGGUGAAAUUCGUAGAUAUCAGGAGGAACACCGGUGGCGAAGGCGACUUCCUGGACCAAUACUGACGCUGAGGCGCGAAGGCGUGGGGAGCAAACA
rnacentral:rRNA from 1 species